UCUAAUAUGGCAGAAUAAUGCAAUGGAUUUAAACCCCAUUAAUAAAGAAUUUAAUUCUUUUUUUAGAA
rnacentral:tRNA from 1 species